UUGUAUUGCUGUUUGUUUAUUAUAAGUUCAAGUCAUUGUCGAGUCUUCCACUUCAAGUCAAGUCUCAAGUAACUUGUUCUCAAGUCAAGUCAUUUUCAUACUUUAAUCAAGCAAGUCACAAGUCCUGAAAAUUGACUCAUGUGACUCGAGUCUACACGGGUCAAGAAAAUGUCCAAAAGUGGGGAGUCUACUUUGCAGCGACAGACCCUGGGUUGAGGAAGAGACUAUGCUAACCGCUACAUUUAAAUUUAUUAAGCUACCACUAGACAUUUGUCUGGACAUUGGAUUUGGGAAGAUACCAGUGGGAAUCAAGACAACGGCUGUUUGGUCGUAUUGAUCCCGCAAGGAUAGAGACAGUUUAGGCUUCUCUUUGGGCUCGCCAUGAGCGAUCCGACUGGAACACGCAGGAACGCUGAACCGCCUGGGGGAGGGGUGCUGACGGUCAGAGGAGACGGAUCAGAGGAGACGGACCAGAGUGCGUCUACCGGGCUCAGUCAGGAGGCGUUCAGGACUGUGAGGUUCCAUAUGGGCUGAGACAUUAGGUAGAACCAGUCAGAGAGAUAACGUAUACACUGAGUAAUAUUUCCUGGUAAAAAAGAUACGUUAUAAUUCUUACCACAACAGUGGAAUCACUUUUCUGGCGCUGUCACCAACUGUAAC
ensembl:lncRNA